rnacentral:rRNA from 1 species
GAAUUCAGUGAAUCAUCGAAUCUUUGAACGCACCUUGCGCUCCUUGGUAUUCCGAGGAGCAUGCCUGUUUGAGUGUCAUUUAAUUCUCAACCCCUCCAACUUUUGUAGUUGGCUAGGUGGCUUGGAUGUGGGGGAUUAAUCUUGCGGGCCUCUUUAGAGGUCGGCUCCCCUGAAAUGCAUUAGUGGAACUGUUUGCGGAACUGUCACUGGUGUGAUAAUUAUCUAUACCAAGACAACCGCUCUCUGAUAAUUCUGCUUCUAAUUGUCCUUUACUUGGACAACAAUAUCUGAAUGCUUGACCUCAAAUCAGGUAGGACUACCCGCUGAACUUAAGCAUAUCAAUAAGCGGAGGAAAAGAAACUAACAAGGAUUCCCCUAGUAACUGCGAGUGAAGCGGGAAAAGCUCAAAUUUGAAAUCUGGCAGUCUUUGGCUGUCCGAGUUGUAAUCUAGAGAAGCGUCUUCCGCGC